rnacentral:rRNA from 1 species
UACGGAGGGUGCGAGCGUUGUCCGGAAUCACUGGGCGUAAAGGGCGCGUAGGUGGCCUGUGGAAGUCUGCGGUGAAAGCCCGGCGCUCAACGCCGGGUCGGCCCGUGGAUACUCUCGGGCCUCGAGCUUACUAGAGGCAGAUGGAAUUCCUGGUGUAGCGGUGGAAUGCGCAGAUAUCAGGAGGAACACCGAUGGCGAAGGCCAGGUCUCUGGGCAUUAACUGACGCUGAGGUGCGAAGCGUGGGAGCAAACAGG